rnacentral:lncRNA from 1 species
GACACAAUCCGAUGCAAAAAUAGCAAACUGGAUCCACCGUCAACAGCGACGGCACCCGACAGUCCAGAACAGUCUAUACACUACUGUAAAAUAAAUUCGACAUCCCACCACGAGCGUAAACUUAUCAUACACUAAUCUGGAUAUCCACCGCAUACAAACUGCGACGAUUCAAACAAACUACAGUUCCUAAAGCUAAAUCUGAUAGUUUUAAGAAAAUGACAGUGUAGGAUCAUCUGUUUUCUCCUAAGUCAAUUUCAAGUCCAACAUGUAAAAUUAAACUGCUAGCUUAACUCUAAAUUCAGAUGUAAAC